GACGAACGCUGGCGGCGUGCUUAACACAUGCAAGUCGAACGGAAAGGCCCUGCUUGCAGGGUACUCGAGUGGCGAACGGGUGAGUAACACGUGGGUGAUCUGCCCUGCACUUCGGGAUAAGCCUGGGAAACUGGGUCUAAUACCGGAUAGGAGCCAUUUUUAGUGUGAUGGUUGGAAAGUUUUUUCGGUGUAGGAUGAGCUCGCGGCCUAUCAGCUUGUUGGUGGGGUAAUGGCCUACCAAGGCGGCGACGGGUAGCCGGCCUGAGAGGGUGGACGGCCACAUUGGGACUGAGGGGCGGCCCAGACUCCUGCGGGGGGCAGCAGUGGGGAAUAUUGCACAAUGGGCGCAAGCCUGAUGCAGCGACGCCGCGGGGGGGAUGACGCCCUUCGGGUUGUAAACUCUUUUCGCUGGGGACGAAGCUUUUUGUGACGGUACCUAGAGAAGAAGCCCCGGCUAACUACGUG
rnacentral:rRNA from 1 species